rnacentral:rRNA from 1 species
UACGGGGGGAGCAAGCGUUGUUCGGAUUUACUGGGCGUAAAGGGCGCGUAGGCGGUCGUGACAAGUCACUUGUGAAAUCUCCGGGCUUAACUCGGAACGGUCAAGUGAUACUGUCGGACUAGAGUACAGAAGGGGCAACUGGAAUUCCCAGUGUAGCGGUGAAAUGCGUAGAUAUUGGGAAGAACACCUGAGGCGAAGGCGGGUUGCUGGGCCGACACUGACGCUGAGGCGCGAAAGCCAGGGGAGCGAACGGG